rnacentral:rRNA from 1 species
UGGGGAAUUUUGGACAAUGGGCGCAAGCCUGAUCCAGCCAUGCCGCGUGAGUGAAGAAGGCCUUCGGGUUGUAAAGCUCUUUCGGUUGGGAAGAAAUUGCCUGGGUUAAUACCUCAGGUAGAUGACGGUACCAGCAUAAGAAGCACCGGCUAACUACGUGCCAGCAGCCGCGGUAAUACGUAGGGUGCGAGCGUUAAUCGGAAUUACUGGGCGUAAAGCGUGCGCAGGCGGUUGUGUAAGUCAGAUGUGAAAUCCCCGGGCUCAACCUGGGAACUGCAUUUGAGACUGCACGGCUAGAGUGUGGCAGAGGGGGGUAGAAUUCCACGUGUAGCAGUGAAAUGCGUAGAGAUGUGGAGGAAUACCGAUGGCGAAGGCAGCCCCCUGGGCCAAUACUGACGCUCAUGCACGAAAGCGUGGGGAGCAAACA